GACGAACGCUGGCGGCGUGCUUAACACAUGCAAGUCGAACGGAAAGGCCCUGCUUGCAGGGUGCUCGAGUGGCGAACGGGUGAGUAACACGUGGGUGAUCUGCCCCUUACUUUGGGAUAAGCCUGGGAAACUGGGUCUAAUACUGGAUAGGACCAUGCUGUAGGUGGUGUGGUGGAAAGAUUAGUUUCGGUAAGGGAUGAGCUCGCGGCCUAUCAGCUUGUUGGUGGGGUAAUGGCCUACCAAGGCGUCGACGGGUAGCCGGCCUGAGAGGGUGGACGGCCACAUUGGGACUGAGUUACGGCCCAGACUCCUACGGGAGGCAGCAGUGGGGAAGAUUGCACAAUGGGCGCAAGCCUGAUGCAGCGACGCCGCGUGGGGGAUGACGGCCUUCGGGUUGUAAACUCCUUUCAGCCAUGACGAAGCCCUUGUGGUGACGGUAGUGGUAGAAGAAGCACCGGCUAACUACGUGC
rnacentral:rRNA from 1 species